CAUGCGUGAGGCCCUCCCCCAGCACUGCCAUUGAGGGGCAUUGACUCAGUGAGUGGAAGAGGUUUGUUUGAAACAGGCCGCAAUGGAGAGACCAGCGCCCAUGAAGCGAGGGAACAGCAGGCUCCUUCCAGCAGCGCAUCGAGAUGUGAGUCUGGGGCACAGAGGGGGCUCCGAGACCGGCAUUGAUUCGGGCUCAGUUCAGGGAGAACCGGAGGCUGUUGGCAAAUACUCGGAGGACCUGGAUGUUAUCAUUAUUCCUCGGUACAAAGCCACGUGUGACUAGCUGCUUGUGACAAUCAGCAGGCAAAUAUUUGAAGGACAUAGACAAUGUAAUAUUUCCUCAGUACAAAGCCAAUUGUGACCAGUGGCUUCUAACAACCACCAGGGUAUGGUCAGCUCUGCCAAGGUGGCAAGUGGAUGCCAAUCUCAAAAUAUCCUUGAAUGGAUCAAUAUGCUCGACCUGAAGGCAAUGAGGAGUUCGCAAAGGGUUAGGAGUCACAUGCAGAGUGGACCAGCCUGAAUGGGUGUGGCCACUUCUCUCAGAUCAGGAUUUCUGGGUUUUGUUUUAUUUCCCGUGCAGCUGAAGCUAUCGGGGUCUCAAAAGCAUUUGAAGCUUCAGUGGAUGUCUCCCGGCUGCUGCUGUCUCUGUAUUUUCUGUUGACUUUUUAUCCUCCUGGAUUGGAGAAUUGCACGUGAGAAUCUGUGUCUCAAUUUUACAUGUUUGUCAAGGAGUGUGUUUAUGGGAUGUUCCUAUUUUGAAACAGUUAAUUAGCAAUAGUUACUGUAUCUACUGUUCUAUAACAUUUCCAACAGAGUUAAGUUAUUCUUAAUUCUUCCUUCUUUUAUUGCAUUUUAACAAUAGUGUUUAAAUAAAUUGUUUUGUUUAACAUUGA